rnacentral:ncRNA from 1 species
UGCUGGGGGUGCCCGCUGUAGGUGGGCUGAGACAGUCCCUUUGAACCUGAUCCGGUUGACACCGGCGUAGGGAAGC